AUAGCAAGGAUUUCAAUUUCAGGUUGGGAUUGUAUCUACAAAGACUACAAUAUUUUCUAUUCGCUAAUUACUCUAUCAGUGCAUCAGUGAUUUCCCUUUGGAUUUUUCUCUUGAUUUGGGGUUUCUUUUGUUUUGGUGUUCUUAUUUCAAAAGGCUGCCCUCUACAACUGUAAUGUUGCUGGAACGCCUGCAGUUGUCACUCGUGGAUUGUACCCUGUUGAAACCAUUUCUACUGUUGGCAAAAUUUGUGCAAAGGACUAUCUGGCAGCACCCUCAACAGCUGACCAGUCUUACAUUGUUAUUUUAGAGCAUACAAUUGCAGAGAGAGAACGCAGUGACCACUCUGCGUAUGUGCAAGACAUGAGUGCACAUAAUUUCUUAGAGGUAGGAGCAGCUGCUUUACUUGUUGGAGAUAUGGAAGCAAAAAUGAAUGGCCAGCCCUGGAAAUAUUUUGGCACUGCAUGCCUCAUCUUGAUCAACUCUUACAGCCUUCACCAGUCACAACAAUUGCCAAUUCUGCUUCUGCUCGCUUCCAUUUAAGAGCAAUUACAGCAUUGAAACGCAGUAGAGGAGGACCUCAUCAAAUUUGUACGCUACAUGGAUGACUAUAGUUGUUCCGACCAGUAUGACAGCAUAUCUUUAUCUCUACUCUAAUGGAGAAGUAUCAUUGGCUGCCACCCAACCAGUGUAAUAGAUGUAAUUUUACCGUAUAUUAAUUUUUGAGAUCAAUAUGUAAUUUUAUCAUAUCUUAAUUUAUAGUUCCAUCUUUUUUGAAGGUACUAAACAUAUUUUUUUAAUAUUUUAGGGGCUAAAGUGCAAUUUUACCAUAGAUCAAUUUGUAAUUUUAUUCUUUCUAAAGGGACGGAAUUGAAAAUUUUUUAUUUCAAAGGCUAUAAGUUUUGAUUUUUUAUUUCA